rnacentral:snRNA from 1 species
CUGAUUACGACACUUUUGUUU